CAUAAGUACUUAAUAUAUAAUAACCUUAUAAUUUAAUAUGUGCGAAUUUGGAAGCUGGGUGAAAUUCCCACACUGUCCCGCAACUGUAAUAGCAAAGUAGAGACAAUAGGUCAUUGGGAAGACUGUUGUAUACGUGAAGGCUUAAGUCAGGAUACAAAUGAAAUGGUUUGCAUAGAA
rfam:Alkaliphilus oremlandii OhILAs, complete genome.